rnacentral:lncRNA from 1 species
AAAUUGGAUUGCAUAGAAGCCUUCUCAAUCCUUUCCUAAAAGUCCAAUAGUAAUGGUAAUGCCACUAAUUUAACUUUCUUUGCAAUGAUCUUAUAUUUUUUAUUCACCUUUAUUUCAUAUUUAUCUACAUAUUCUUUCACUACAUCAUAAAAUUGCUUAGAAUACAUAUUUAUUACUUUAUUACUACCUUCAAAAUAUAAAUCUAAUAAUAUUUAUAAAUUAUUCAUAGUA